rnacentral:rRNA from 1 species
UACGUAGGUGGCAAGCGUUGUCCGGAUUUAUUGGGUUUAAAGGGUGCGUAGGUGGCCCUGUAAGUCAGUGGUGAAAUAUCUCAGCUUAACUGAGAGGGUGCCAUUGAUACUGCAGGGCUUGAGUACAGAUGAGGUAGGCGGAAUUGACGGUGUAGCGGUGAAAUGUGUAGAGAUGUGGAGGAACACCGAUGGCGAAGGCAGCCUCCUGGGCCAGCACUGACGCUCAUGCACGAAAGCGUGGGGAGCAAACAGG